ensembl:misc_RNA Metazoa_SRP Metazoan signal recognition particle RNA
GCUGGGCAUGGUGGCGGGCGCCUGUAAUCUCAGCUACUUGGGAGGCUGAGGCAGGAGAAUUGCUUGAACCUGGGAGCUGGAGGUUGCAGUGAGUGGAGAUCGUGCCACUGCACUCCAGCCUGGGCAACAGAGCGAGACUCUGCCUCAA